rnacentral:rRNA from 1 species
UACGGGGGGGGCAAGCGUUGUUCGGAAUUACUGGGCGUAAAGGGCUUGUAGGUGGCCAACUAAGUCAAAGGUGAAAUCCCUCGGCUCAACUGAGGAACUGCCUUUGAAACUGAGGAGCUUGAGUCCGGGAGGGGGUAGCGGAAUUCCCAGUGUAGCGGUGAAAUGCGUAGAUAUUGGGAGGAACACCAGUGGCGAAGGCGGCUACCUGGACCGGAACUGACGCUGAUGCGCGAAAGCGUGGGUAGCAAACAGG